GCGCGCUCAAGCUGCUGCGGGCGCGCCACGACGCGCUGCACCUGCACGACAGAGUAAAAACGGCCCUGGCGCAGUUCAACGACUUUACAUAAGUGACCGAAAUUGUAACGAAUAAUGCGUAAAAGUGACUUGUUUCAUACGACGCUUAUGAAUUAGUCCUGAUUUAGUGAGUUAUCGAGUCAUAACAGUUAACUAAUGGGUAAUCUACAUAAUGACGCUAAGUAUUUAAUUGUAUAUAGCUAAGUUGCUGUUAUCUUAAAUGUGGAAUGUUAUUAUAGUUAUUUAUUUUCUUUUCUCAUGUUAAAGAGUCGUACACUUAUCACCUUUUCUUCACUUUCAUUUUUAUUAAUUACGGGCGAUUACAUAAAAACUUAAAUGUUGUUGAUUAACAUCGUUAAUAUUUUAUUUUACUUGUGUUACCAUUACCUAGACCUUAAAAAAAUCGCAUUGUAAAUUCCAUUUACAUAUUAUACGAGUAUAAAAGAUGUAUUCUUGUAUUCAUCAUAAUGUCAUCGUUAGAUUUUUAAAUAAAUUGAAAGGCGCCUAACCUCGACGUCAUCACGAAUCUAGCUUAAUGUAGUUUGACUACAAUAGAUAACAAUUUAUAGAUAUUUUUUCGGCUUAUUGACAAUAUAUAAUAAGAUUAAGUACGUACGGUACAGGAAAGAAGUGAUACUGAUAAAAGUGAUUGUAGCUUUUGAUAAAAUAGGGGAUGGCUAUUAGCGCUGGUUGCUGAGUGACAAUCCUUGGAUACAAAAAAAUAAACGUUUUUCUUUAUAUUUAUGUCGUAAAAAUUUUUCGUUAUUGAAAAAAAUUAAAUAAAAAAAUGUAGAUUGUUUGUGGUCGGAAGAUGUUACUAAUAUAAAAUAGCCUUUGAUGACACAAUAGAAUCUCGAAUCAUUUUUAAGCUUUAUGAAAUACAUAAUUUUUAAGCCUUUACAUGUAGUUAAGAAUUCAAUUUUCGUAUGCAAUUAACAAGUUUUAGUGCUGACAUGCGUUUUUAUGAAAUUGAAUGGGAAUUAUAUUAUUUGUAAUAUAAAAAAAAGACAUUAAAUAUCUGUAAUGAUUCUUGUUGGUUAUUGUCGUAGAGAAAUUGACCCAUUCAAUAAUGGGAAGGUAAAUAAAUAAAAAAUUGAUUUAAUAAUUGCUAAAACGGGAUAUUUACCAUGUUUUUUAUUUUCAUUUUACGGAGCUCGAUAAUAUUUUGAUAUUAUUAUUGAUUUUGAUAUUAUUGAUUUAAUAAUAAAUAAAUACUCAUAUAUUGGUGUUCAAACUGUGGUA